GACCAACGGUAUACGAAAAUCCACUGGUGCACUGGUGCAGUCGGUAAUAUCGUGUCCACUGUGAUACUUUCUCGUGUAUAUACCUACACCGCAGUCGUCGCCGUCACCACGCUGCGCGCCGUCUCGUAUUCGAAUAAAAAAACUACGAAAAAUAAACGGUUUACUCAAAACUAUAACUUAUUAAUUUAUCAUACUCGCUCGAUGUUCUCGCGGAAUAUAAAUUCGAUAUUAUAAAUUAUCGUAACAUUAUUCGUCAUACACUAUAAGCGCGUAUAUUUUGACUAGGUACCCGUGAUAUAGGUACAUACCUAAAUAUAAAUUUGUAGUGCAUUUGUUAUCGGAACCGCGAUUUGUUCUUAGAAAUUAAUUUUUUUGUUUGUACCGGUACAUUGUGUUAUAACAAGUUCAAUCUCAGUAGGUAUGUCGACUCUGUAAAACGCAAUUUUUUUCCCGUCGUAGAAAAUUACGACAAAAGGAAAAAGAGGAAAAAGCGUGUUGAUCGCCGAUUCAUGGUGGUUAUUUUGAACACGAAAUAAGUGGCUCGCACAUUCUCAACAUAUUAUGCAGUUCAGUCUGUUAACAACAUGGUCACGUCAGAUAGUAACGUUCAUUACUGUGUGUGCAGUCUUCACGGCAGGCGUUCCAGUAGAAAAACUACGAACGGCAGCGCCACAAUGGACCACUCACAACAUGUCAUUGUGGGAAGACGUAGUAUUAUUGAGCUCAGAUUCCGAUCAUCAGCCGUUGCUAAUGAUCAACCAAACUGGUGUUUACACUGCCCCAGACAUCGAAAAAAUGGAAAACGAGACAUUAAAAAAAUUCCACAUAUUAAAAGCAAAUUACACCAAGUAUUUCUAUGACAUUAAUGGCACAAAAACUAAAGAAGACAGCCGAGCUUCUCGGGCUGCACUUCCUGGAUUCGUGGAUAAAGCAUUACAAUUACUCAAUUUAAACCAAGUAGUGGGUGAGGUGGAAACUAGCGUUAUGUCUAAAAUGUCAUGUACCGCUUGUAAAGCUGGCGCUGGUCUUCUACAACACUACAUAAAACAUGGUAAAACACGCGAUGACAUUGUAAAAAUUACCUACCAGUUCUGCACAAGCUUUAAAUUACAGACACCACGUGUCUGUGAAGGUAUUACUGAACUAUUUAGUGGUGAAGUGGUUUACGUUAUGCAAAGAAUUAAUAUUGGACCUGAAGAAAUCUGCAGUUUUGUUAUUGGUGACGCCUGUGGAGAUGUGUACAACCCAACACAUGAAUGGGAUGUAGUUUUUCCUCCUGUUCCCAAACCCACUCCAAUUGAAAUUAAAAUAUUAAAAGAACCAGUUCCUCAAUUCAAAGUUCUCCACUUGUCUGACACUCAUUUUGAUCCAUAUUAUGAAGAAGGAACAAAUGCCGAUUGCAACGAACCUUUAUGUUGUCGUCUGACCAAUGGCCCAGCAGUUAGUCCUCAAAGUCGAGCGGGAAGAUGGGGAGACUAUAGAAAAUGUGAUACUCCUAAACGUACCAUUGACAAUAUGCUUCAACAUAUUGUUUCUACACACACUGACAUUGAUUACAUCAUUUGGACGGGUGAUCUACCAGCACACGAUAUUUGGAACCAGACAAAAGAAGAAAACUUAAGCAUAUUAAAAGAAACUGUUGCGCAAUUACUCAAAAUGUUUCCAGGAAUUCCCAUAUUUCCAGCACUUGGGAAUCAUGAAGCAGUUCCGGUGAAUAGUUUCCCUCCGUCUUCGUUGGUAAAUAAACCUGAGUUUGCCAUCGACUGGCUAUACAGCGAAUUGGACACACAAUGGCGACGUUGGCUACCGGGUUCCGUCAGCAGGACCAUCAAACGUGGGGCGUUCUACAGUGUAUUGGUUCGGCCUGGGUUCCGCAUAAUAUCAUUGAAUAUGAACUAUUGCAACAACAAAAAUUGGUGGCUAUUAAUGAAUAGUACUGAUCCAGUCAAAGAACUCCAAUGGUUCAUAUACGAGCUGCAGAAUGCUGAAUUCAACGGCGAAAAGGUCCACGUAUUGGGACACAUACCACCUGGGCAUCCGGAUUGUUUAAAAGUCUGGAGUCGAAACUAUUACGCCAUAAUCUCUAGGUAUGAAAGCACAAUUACAGCUCAAUUUUUUGGCCAUACCCAUUUUGACGAAUUUGAAUUGUUCUAUGAUACACAAGAUCUUGGUAGGCCAGUAAGCAUAGCAUAUGUUGGUCCUUCUGUCACUCCAUACUAUGAUCUCAAUCCAGGUUACAGAAUAUACUAUGUAGAUGGUGAUAGAGAACAUUCAACUAGAGCAGUGCUGGACCACGAAACAUGGGUGAUGAAUUUAAAAGAAGCUAAUUUAUAUGACUAUCCUAUCUGGCAAAAAUUAUAUUCUACACAAGCAGCUUAUAGUCUACCUUCAUUAAGACCCGAGGACUGGGAUACUUUUGUUAAUAGCUUAGCUGAAGAUCAAACUUUAUUUGACUUAUAUUACAAGCAUUACUGGAAAAACUCUCCAACAAGACCUGCAUGUGAUGCAGAAUGCAAAAAACGUAUGAUAUGUGAUCUCAGAUCAGGCCGAUCACACGACCGAAAGAUCUUAUGUCAAGAAAUUGAGUCACGUAUUGAUGCUGGUUCAAGGAUUAGUUGGCGUGCAUGGCUUUACAAUGGAUUCACUGCCUCAGUGACAAUGAUCUAAAUUCUAAGGUGACGGUCAUCUGUAACUAUCACUGUAUAUUCACCUACAACGGCAAUCUUCUAUUUAUUGGAUGUCUGUUAUCAUGUCCAUACCUCACUACACAUACCAGAUACCUAAAUACCUACUUGGAUAUGCCAGAUGAACAAAAUUGUGAAGUGAUGUGAAACAAAAAUUAAAUGCAGUACAAAUUACAGCCACAGUCAGAUCAGAUAAGUUGGGUGACAAAACAUUUAUUCUGAAACAUUUGCUCAUUACAACGAUCAAACAAAAGUGAUGCGAUUAAAAGUAGGUUGCUUUUACACUUAGAGAAUAAUCAAACAACACGCGGCCAUGGGCCAUGAUAUGGAUUUAAAUAUACAUACGCACAACACACACUAUUAUGUAUGUGCAAUUGUGUAUGAGUAUACUUAAUUGACAUAUAUUUUUACCAGCAUUAACAUGUUUUAUGCAACUAUUAAUGUAAAUAUAUUUAUUAAUUAUGCGCUAAAAAGUCUGUUGAUGGAUACUAUUUAUUAUGUACAGCAUUUUAAAAUAGAAAA